CGCAGGAGGAUAAGGGUGAUCUCAUAGAGGUGUAUAAGACCAUGAGAGGAAAGAUAGUGCAAAUGCAGAGAGUCUUUUAACCAAGAAUAGGGGAAUCAAGAGCCAGGGAACAUAGGUUUAAGGUGAGAGUGGAAAGAUUUAAUAGGAAUCUGAGGGGUAACUUUUUUCCACAGAGG